rnacentral:rRNA from 1 species
UACGAAGGGGGCUAGCGUUGCUCGGAAUUACUGGGCGUAAAGCGCACGUAGGCGGCUUGUUAAGUCGGAGGUGAAAUCCUGGAGCUCAACUCCAGAACUGCCUUCGAUACUGGCGAGCUUGAGUUCGGGAGAGGUGAGUGGAACUGCGAGUGUAGAGGUGAAAUUCGUAGAUAUUCGCAAGAACACCAGUGGCGAAGGCGGCUCACUGGCCCGGUACUGACGCUGAGGUGCGAAAGCGUGGGGAGCAAACAGG